CUCCUCUCAGGAUGGCACCUGGAGAGUUUCCAGUCCUCUACCAGUCUCUGCUUUGGGAGGGAGAGUCAAGCAGAGGCCUUUCUAUUCCAGGCUUUGGCAGUGGCUGGUGAGUGGAAGGCAUUCUGCUACAAGU